rnacentral:rRNA from 1 species
CCUACGGGGGGCAGCAGUGGGGAAUAUUGGGCAAUGGGCGCAAGCCUGACCCAGCAACGCCGCGUGAAGGAAGAAGGCUUUCGGGUUGUAAACUUCUUUUGUCAGGGAAGAGUAGAAGACGGUACCUGACGAAUAAGCUACGGCUAACUACGUGCCAGCAGCCGCGGUAAUACGUAGGUGGCAAGCGUUGUCCGGAUUUACUGGGUGUAAAGGGCGUGUAGCCGGGUUGACAAGUCAGAUGUGAAAUCCUGCGGCUUAACCGCAGAACUGCAUUUGAAACUGUUGAUCUUGAGUACUGGAGAGGCAGACGGAAGUCCUAGUGUAGCGGUGAAAUGCGUAGAUAUUAGGAGGAACACCAGUGGCGAAGGCGGUCUGCUGGACAGCAACUGACGGUGAGGCGCGAAAGCGUGGGGAGCAAACAGGAUUAGAUACCCCAGUAGUC